UACGGGGGGGGCAAGCGUUGUUCGGAAUUACUGGGCGUAAAGGGCUCGUAGGUGGCCAACUAAGUCAUACGUGAAAUCCCUCGGCUUAACCGGGGAACUGCGUCUGAUACUGGAUGGCUUGAGUUUGGGAGAGGGAUGCGGAAUUCCAGGUGUAGCGGUGAAAUGCGUAGAUAUCUGGAGGAACACCGGUGGCGAAGGCGGCAUCCUGGACCAACACUGACGCUGAGGAGCGAAAGCCAGGGGAGCAAACGGGG
rnacentral:rRNA from 1 species